rnacentral:tRNA from 1 species
GUCCAUGUAGCUUAAAACAAA